rnacentral:rRNA from 1 species
AACGAACGCUGGCGGCAUGCCUAACACAUGCAAGUCGAACGAGACCUUCGGGUCUAGUGGCGCACGGGUGCGUAACGCGUGGGAACCUGCCCUUAGGUUCGGAAUAACUCCCCGAAAGGGGUGCUAAUACCGGAUAAUGUCUUCGGACCAAAGAUUUAUCGCCUUUGGAUGGGCCCGCGUUGGAUUAGCUAGUUGGUAGGGUAAAAGCCUACCAAGGCGACGAUCCAUAGCUGGUCUGAGAGGAUGAUCAGCUACACUGGGACUGAGACACGGCCCAGACUCCUACGGGAAGCAGCAGUGGGGAAUAUUGGACAAUGGGCGAAAGCCUGAUCCAGCAAUGCCGCGUGAGUGAUGAAGGCCUUAGGGUUGUAAAGCUCUUUUACCCGGGAUGAUAAUGACAGUACCGGGAGAAUAAGCUCCGGCUAACUCCGUG